GACAGAGGAUGCAAGCGUUAUCCGGAAUGAUUGGGCGUAAAGCGUCUGUAGGUGGCUUUUAAGUCCGCCGUCAAAUCCCAGGCUCAACCCUGGACAGGCGGUGGAAACUACCAAGCUGGAGUACGGUAGGGGCAGAGGGAAUUUCCGGUGGAGCGGUGAAAUGCGUAGAGAUCGGGAGGAACACCAGAGGCGAAGGCGGCGACCUGGACAGCUACUGACACUCAACUACGAAAGCGUGGGAGCAACAGG
rnacentral:rRNA from 1 species